GUGCAGCAGGCGAGAAUCCUCCGCAAUGCGCGAAAGCGCGACGGGGCCACCCCGAGUGCCGCCCGCUGAGGGCGGCUUUUCCCCGGUGUAGACAGCCGGGGGAAUAAGGGGAGGGCAAGUCUGGUGUCAGCCGCCGCGGUAAUACCAGCUCCCCGAGUGGUGGGGACGAUUAUUGGGCCUAAAGCGUCCGUAGCCGGCCCGGCAAGUCUCCCGUUAAAUCCAGCGAUCUAAUCGCUGGACUGCGGGAGAUACUGUCGGGCUAGGGGGCGGGAGAGGCCGGCGGUAUUCCCGGGGUAGGGGUGAAAUCCUAUAAUCCCGGGAGGACCACCAGUGGCGAAGGCUGCCGGCUGGAACGCGCCCGACGGUGAGGGACGAAAGCCGGGGGAGCGAACCGGAUUAGAUACCCCGUAGU
rnacentral:rRNA from 1 species